CACCUUGCGCAGUGGCAAUAUCGUAACCAAUGAAGGCCUCCUGAGGUGCGAUUAUUGCUAGUUGGAUGGAUGUAAACAUACUUUAAAAUAAAUAUUUAUGAAUUUUCUUUUUUCAUUUACGGUGA
rnacentral:snRNA from 1 species